AGACUGGCCUGGGGGAAGGCAUGGCACUGCUGAACACAGGGAGAUACAGGUCAGUUCUUGACUUGGAGUUCAAAGCUCCAGUGUGCUGGUUGCAUAUUAGUUCUACCCACUUCAGUCCCAGAAGAAGAGACGAGUGUGCUUUGCUACCCUUAUGAUGGAAAACACAAACUUGGCAUGAAAAUCGCAUAAUGGUCAGAUACCCAGAACUCUGAUGGGCUUCAGUCAUAACUUGGACAAAGAUCUGCAGUGGGCUGCCAGCUCACUGUCACCCUCUGAUCCUUCAGCCUCAGCGGCUUUGCUGUGUUCAUGUGCACAUGCUCUAUCCAGCUCUGCUCACGUCCAUAUGCAGUGAGCGUGUGUCUGUCAUAUGGAUGUGUGUGCCUUUCAGAUCAUGUUUUAAAACCUUCCACGUCUGGCGUUGGGAACGCAGCCGCGGCUUGGUAGUGGAUAGCAAGAGGCAAAGGUGAGGCCCAAAGAGAGGAUGCCACCUGUUCAUGGCCAAGGACAGAAAUGGCAGAGUUGAGACUGGAACUCAAUUUCAGAGCCAAGAUUCUUCCACUCCUCCAUGCAAUGCCAUCUGCAAGUGAACCCAAAGAAGCGAUGAAUAAUCAGUCAUCAGGAGAGGGGAUUAAAAAAUAGAUUUAUUGCUAUUUCUAAAAGUCAGAACCAGAGAUGAGUAAACACAACAACAGAUGUAUAAGAACAUGCUGAAUCUCUGCUUCCAGUAUUACUGAGCCGGCUCGAUCUUUUUCCCUUCUGCAGUGGCUUUGAGCAACCUCCAUACUGAUGCAAUAUUAACGACCGCAUAAUUAGCCACCUUAAUAAAUUUUUCCAAGAUGGAUA